rnacentral:rRNA from 1 species
UACGGAGGAUGCAAGUGUUAUCCGGAUUUAUUGGGUUUAAAGGGUGCGCAGGUUGUUUGAUAAGUCAGUGGUGAAAGUCUGUCGCUUAACGGUAGGAUUGCCAUUGAUACUGUUGGACUUGAAUAUGGAUGAGGUAGGCGGAAUGUGUAGUGUAGCGGUGAAAUGCAUAGAUAUUACACAGAACACCGAUUGCGAAGGCAGCUUACUAAUCCAUCAUUGACGCUGAGGCACGAAAGCGUGGGGAUCAAACA